AUUGAACGCUGGCGGCAGGCUUAACACAUGCAAGUCGAGCGGGGUGAUGGUGCUUGCACUAUCACUUAGCGGCGGACGGGUGAGUAAUGCUUAGGAAUCUGCCUAUUAGUGGGGGACAACAUCUCGAAAGGGAUGCUAAUACCGCAUACGUCCUACGGGAGAAAGCAGGGGAUCACUUGUGACCUUGCGCUAAUAGAUGAGCCUAAGUCGGAUUAGCUAGUUGGUGGGGUAAAGGCCUACCAAGGCGACGAUCUGUAGCGGGUCUGAGAGGAUGUGCGGCCACACUGGGACUGAGACACGGCCCAGACUCCGACGGGAGGCAGCAGUGGGGAAUAUUGGAGAAUGGGGGGAACCCUGAUCCAGCCAUGCCGCGUGUGUGAAGAAGGCCUUAUGGUUGUAAAGCACUUUAAGCGAGGAGGAGGCUCUGUUGGUUAAUACCCAAGAUGAGUGGACGUUACUCGCAGAAUAAGCACCGGCUAACUCUGUGCCAGCCGCCGCCGUAA
rnacentral:rRNA from 1 species